rnacentral:rRNA from 1 species
GGGAAAUCUUACCGGGUCCGGACACACUGAGGAUUGACAGGCAAUUAUUGUAUAUUUUUAUAUAUUUUUUUAUAUAUAUACUUUAUGCAACAACAAAUUAUGCUAGUCCUUUCAUGAUUAUGUGAUAGGUGGUGCAUGGCCGUUCUUAGUUCGUGGAGUGAUCUGUCUGCUUAAUUGCGUUUCAUCUGGAUCAUAUAAUAAUAUGUACUUUUUAUUAUUACUUUAUAUUAUAUAUUUAUUUAUGUAUAUAUCGUAAUUUUAAUACUUAAGGUACUCGUGUCCUGAAAGCAACGA